rnacentral:tRNA from 1 species
CUUUAGUGCAGUAGGCAGCACGUUAGUCUUGUAAACUGAAGGUCCUGAGUUUGAUCCUCAAAAG